CCCCUAAAGGCGACACAGGCCGUCCCAGCAGUAGGAGCAUUUGGCUGGCAGGACAAGACAGGCAGCUUCGGUGAAAUGUUCAAGUCGCUUGCCCGUGUUCUGAGUGGAUUGUCCAGAGAAUUAUGCUGAGAAAGGAGAGCCAGUCCUAAAAGUAAACAUUUUUUCUCUGAGAAGACCCUGUUAAGAGGAUGAACAAGCUACUGAGAGAAAAUUUUUGCAAACCAAUAUAUCCAACAGAGGAUGAGUUACCAUAUUAAAGUGUACAGUUCUAUGUCA